GCAUUCGUGGUAAAAUGGUCACCACACUCGGCAGGUAUUCCAGAGUUCCGAGGUUCGAAUCCCGGCGAGGGCA
rnacentral:tRNA from 1 species